CGGACGUGAGGGAACCUGCCUUCCAGAGGGGGACAACAGUUGGAAACGACUGCUAAUACCGCAUGAUGCGUUGGAGCCGCAUGACUCCGACGUCAAAGAUUUAUCGCUGGAAGAUGGCCUCGCGUCUGAUUAGCUAGUUGGUGAGGUAACGGCCCACCAAGGCGACGAUCAGUAGCCGGACUGAGAGGUUGGCCGGCCACAUUGGGACUGAGAUACGGCCCAGACUCCUACGGGAGGCAGCAG
rnacentral:rRNA from 1 species